rnacentral:pre_miRNA from 18 species
CGCACUCAUUUCAAGCGGCUUUCAACGACUAUAUCAACCAAAUCAAGCUAGAUACGUUGAUAUGUUGUUUGAAUGCCCCUUGAGAUUUUGGAGU